rnacentral:rRNA from 1 species
UACGUAGGGUGCGAGCGUUAAUCGGAAUUACUGGGCGUAAAGCGUGCGCAGGCGGUUCGUGAUGUCUGAUGUGAAAGCCCCGGGCUCAACCUGGGAACUGCAUUGGAAACUAGCGGGCUGGAGUGUGGCAGAGGGGGGUGGAAUUCCACGUGUAGCAGUGAAAUGCGUAGAGAUGUGGAGGAACACCGAUGGCGAAGGCAGCCCCCUGGGCUAACACUGACGCUCAUGCACGAAAGCGUGGGGAGCAAACAGGAUAGAA